rnacentral:rRNA from 1 species
AUGGGUAUCUCAGGUGUUGUGGAAUGGUGGGAGGAGUGGCAGCUGCGCAUCCUCGUUCUUGGCAGCCUCUUCAUCCAGUGGCUCCUCUUCCUCUCUGCCACCAUGCGUAAGCUCCCUAUUCCUUCCUGGUUCAGAUUCAUGAUAUGGCUCGCAUACCUGGGCAGCGAUGCUCUGGCCAUAUAUGCCCUCGCCACCCUCUUCGGCCGCCAGAGCAGGCAAGGUUGUAACUAUAGGAAAGGCAAUAGCAUACUGGAAGUGGUGUGGGCGCCGGUUCUCCUGACGCACCUUGGUGGGCAGGAUCUCAUAACCGCCUACAACAUCGAAGACAACGAGCUAUGGAAACGGCAUGUCGUCACCGCCAUAUCUCAGAUCACCGUAGCCAUCUACGUGUUCUGCAAGUCAUGGCCAGGCGGUGAGAAGGUGUUGUUGACGGCAUCAAUCUUGUUCUUCAUCACUGGGAUCCUGAAAUGCAUAGAGAAGCCCUGGGCUCUCAAGAGCGCCAGCAUUAACAGCCUAGUCAGCUCUUGUGGACCUGGUGCUCGGAGGAGGAACAAGGUCAGAGAAGGCGGGAUCAACUCGCUUGAGGACUAUUUUCAAAAGGCAUGGGCUUUUGUCCAUACUAACCCUCGUCGUCAAGCACAAGAGGGUAAUGCAGUAGACCUUGAGGCUGACAACCAUCUUCUUCAAUUGCAUCAAGAAGAUGAUGCAGGGGGGCUUGAGGCCGAGCAUCAACCUCAAGCACAUGGAGAAGCUGACACACCGGUUCCGCCUGACCAGCAUCCUCAGGCAUCGAGCACAUGGAGAAGCUGCCUAUACCAACAAAGGAAAACAAUAAGCCACCGCCUAAACAAACAAAGGGAAAAAAGUAGAAGCCGACUUGAUGGCUACAACGUGGACCUUGAGACCUACAAUCUAUUUCUGGACCUUGCAUCAGCGUAUCCUGAUCGGCUUGGUAUCCUGAAAUCAUUCUGGUUCCUAAAUGAAAAACAAGCAUAUGCUUUAUUGCAAAGCAGGCUAUUUGGUGCCUUUGAUCUUCUCUACACCAAAAGAAAGAUGUUCAGGUUAUGGGAAGUAAGGAGCAUCUUGGAUUAUUUGUCUGGCUGUGUAGUGCGGGGAUCAACUGCGUAUCUGCCAUGGGCAGCCAUUGUCCUCUUCUACAAGAGUAAUAUAGAAGCUUAUAAUUCUGACGAUGUGAAGGUUACAUAUGCCUUGUUCUGUUGUACAGCAGUGCUGGAGUUUUUCUGUCUUAGUGUCAUGAACGGGCGUUCUAAAAAUGGAAAAGGGGAAGUAAAUUCAGGUUUUCUGAUUGCUGGAGAAUAUGAUGAACAGGCAAGAAGAAUGUCUAUGCACUGGAAGUGGGUAAAAAAAUUGGGAGCAAGGGCUGCCCAGUUAUGGCUGGAAAGGAGGCACAAGCACAAGUUGGAAGAACAAGUGUGUGCAGUCAGUAAGGGACUAAAGCCUAACCUUGGUAGCCUCUUACAAUUUGCCAUGAGUGAAGAGGUAUUAUUCAUAAAUAGCUCAGUAGGCCAAUAUAAUCUGGUAUGGUUCUUUGCUCGUAACAAAAGGCACUCUAGGAAGAUGUGUGUGGCGAAUUUCUUCAACUGUAAGGACUUCCUCGACGAAAAUUGGUCCAUGAAGCCCUGCAACUCAUCUUUUCCUAUUACAGAGUUAGUUCUUAAGUAUGUAAAAGAAGGCUGGGAAGAUCAAAUGAAAGAUGCAGGCGAUUACUGGAAGUUCACUGACCGCAGGGGGCAAUGGACUCUUCAGGCUAACAAGUGCGACCAAGAUCUGGAAUGGAGCUUAAGGAGUCCAUUCGAUGAGAGUGUCCUUCUCUGGCACAUCGCCACGGAUUUCUGCUUCUACUACAUGGAUCCCUCAGCAGAUCACCAAUGUAUU